rnacentral:misc_RNA from 1 species
UCUCCGUAGGUGAACCUGCGGAGGGAUCAUUACAGAGUUCAUGCCCUACCGGGUAGAUCUCCCACCCUAUGUUAUUAUUACUUUGUUGCUUUGGCGGGCCGUUAGGCUCCGGCCCGACUACCGGCCCCGGCUGGUAAGCGCCCGCCAGAGGACCCAAAACCCUGAAUAUUAGUGUCGUCUGAGUACUAUAUAAUAGUAAAAACUUUCAACAACGAAUCUCUUGGUUCUG